rnacentral:rRNA from 1 species
AUUGAACGCUGGCGGCAUGCCUUACACAUGCAAGUCGAACGGUAACGGGCCUUCGGGUGCCGACGAGUGGCGAACGGGUGAGUAAUACAUCGGAACGUGCCCGAUCGUGGGGGAUAACGAGGCGAAAGCUUUGCUAAUACCGCAUACGAUCUACGGAUGAAAGCAGGGGACCGCAAGGCCUUGCGCGGACGGAGCGGCCGAUGGCAGAUUAGGUAGUUGGUGGGAUAAAAGCUUACCAAGCCGACGAUCUGUAGCUGGUCUGAGAGGAUGAUCAGCCACACUGGGACUGAGACACGGCCCAGACUCCUACGGGAGGCAGCAGUGGGGAAUUUUGGACAAUGGGCGCAAGCCUGAUCCAGCCAUGCCGCGUGCAGGAUGAAGGCCUUCGGGUUGUAAACUGCUUUUGUACGGAACGAAAAGCCUUCUUUUAAUGCAGGAGGGUCAUGACGGUACCGGAAGAAUAAGCACCGGCUAACUACGUG